GGAGAGGUGGCAGAGCUGGUCUAAUGCGUCUGAUUUGAAAUCAGAAGAAGCCUUGCGGUUUCCGUGAGUUCGAAUCUCACUCUCUCCU
rnacentral:tRNA from 1 species